rnacentral:miRNA from 1 species
UCCCAGGACAUGAGUGUAGGACACA